AGAAUCAACGCUGGCGGCGUGCCUAACACAUGCAAGUCGCACGAGAAAGUGGAGCAAUCCACGAGUAAAGUGGCGCACGGGUGAGUAACACGUGAAUAAUCUACCUCCGAGUGGGGAAUAACUGAGAGAAAUCUUAGCUAAUACCGCAUAAUACCCACGGGUCAAAGCAGCAAUGCGCUUGGAGAGGAGUUCGCGGCCGAUUAGCUAGUUGGCGGGGUAAUGGCCCACCAAGGCGAUGAUCGGUAUCCGG
rnacentral:rRNA from 1 species